AUUGAACGCUGGCGGCAGGCCUAACACAUGCAAGUCGAGCGGAUGAGGAAAGCUUGCUUUUCGAUUCAGUGGCGGACGGGUGAGUAAUGCCUAGGAAUCUGCCUGUUAGUGGGGGAUAACUCGGGGAAACUCGGGCUAAUACCGCAUACGUCCUACGGGAGAAAGUGGGGGAUCUUCGGACCUCACGCUAACAGAUGAGCCUAGGUCGGAUUAGCUAGUGGGUGAGGGAAUGGCUCACCUAGGCGACGAUCCGUAACUGGUCUGAGAGGAUGAUCAGUCACACUGGAACUGAGACACGGUCCAGACUCCUACGGGAGGCAGCAGUGGGGAAUAUUGGACAAUGGGCGAAAGCCUGAUCCAGCCAUGCCGCGUGUGUGAAGAAGGUCUUCGGAUUGUAAAGCACUUUAAGUUGGGAGGAAGGGUAUUCACCUAAUACGUGGGUACUUUGACGUUACCAACAGAAUAAGCACCGGCUAACUCUGUGCCAGCCGCCGCCGUAACAC
rnacentral:rRNA from 1 species